UACGGGGGGAGCGAACGUUGUCCGGAAUCACUGGGCGUAAAGGGCGCGUAGGCGGCCUGAUAAGUAGGGGGUGAAAUCCUGCGGCUCAACCGCAGGGCUGCCUUCUAAACUGUCAGGCUGGAGCACGGUAGAGGCAGAUGGAAUUCCCGGUGUAGCGGUGGAAUGCGUAGAGAUCGGGAAGAACACCAGUGGCGAAGGCGGUCUGCUGGGCCGUUGCUGACGCUGAGGCGCGACAGCGUGGGGAGCAAACAGG
rnacentral:rRNA from 1 species